GUGUUCGCUUAAGCAGCACAUAUACCAAGAUUGGAAUAAUACAAAGAAGAUUAGCAUGACUCCUUCGUUAAGGAUGAUAAACAAAUGAGAAAGAAAAUACUGGUUUUU